rnacentral:rRNA from 1 species
CGUAGGCGGACUUUUAAGUGAGAUGUGAAAUACCCGGGCUCAACUUGGGUGCUGCAUUUCAAACUGGAAGUCUAGAGUGCAGGAGAGGAGAAUGGAAUUCCUAGUGUAGCGGUGAAAUGCGUAGAGAUUAGGAAGAACACCAGUGGCGAAGGCGAUUCUCUGGACUGUAACUGACGCUGAGGCUCGAAAGCGUGGGGAGCAAACA